ACGGAAGGCAGCAGUGGGGAAUAUUGCACAAUGGGCGAAAGCCUGAUGCAGCAACGCCGCGUGAAGGAUGAAGGCCUUUGGGUCGUAAACUUCUGUCCUUGGGGACGAAACAAAUGACGGUACCCUUGGAGGAAGCCCCGGCUAACUACGUGCCAGCAGCCGCGGUAAUACGUAGGGGGCAAGCGUUAUCCGGAAUUAUUGGGCGUAAAGAGUGCGUAGGUGGUCUUUUAAGCGCGGGGUGAAAGGCAAUGGCUUAACCAUUGUUAGCCUUGCGAACUGGGAGACUUGAGUGCAGGAGAGGAAAGCGGAAUUCCUAGUGUAGCGGUGAAAUGCGUAGAUAUUAGGAGGAACACCAGUGGCGAAGGCGGCUUUCUGGACUGUAACUGACACUGAGGCACGAAAGUGUAGGGAGCAAACAGGAUUAGAUACCCUGGUA
rnacentral:rRNA from 1 species